rnacentral:piRNA from 1 species
UAAGAUAUGAUGAAUUUUAAAUCUCCCCCA